CCUACGGGUGGCAGCAGUGGGGAAUAUUGCACAAUGGGCGCAAGCCUGAUGCAGCCAUGCCGCGUGUGUGAAGAAGGCCUUCGGGUUGUAAAGCACUUUCAGCGGGGAGGAAGGCGGUGAGGUUAAUAACCUCAUCGAUUGACGUUACCCGCAGAAGAAGCACCGGCUAACUCCGUGCCAGCAGCCGCGGUAAUACGGAGGGUGCAAGUGUUAAUCGGAAUUACUGGGCGUAAAGCGCACGCAGGCGGUCUGUCAAGUCGGAUGUGAAAUCCCCGGGCUCAACCUGGGAACUGCAUUCGAAACUGGCAGGCUAGAGUCUUGUAGAGGGGGGUAGAAUUCCAGGUGUAGCGGUGAAAUGCGUAGAGAUCUGGAGGAAUACCGGUGGCGAAGGCGGCCCCCUGGACAAAGACUGACGCUCAGGUGCGAAAGCGUGGGGAGCAAACAGGAUUAGAUACCCCGGUAGUC
rnacentral:rRNA from 1 species